AUUGAACGCUAGCGGGAUGCCUUACACAUGCAAGUCGAACGGCAGCACGGACUUCGGUCUGGUGGCGAGUGGCGAACGGGUGAGUAAUGUAUCGGAACGUGCCCAGUAGCGGGGGAUAACUACGCGAAAGCGUAGCUAAUACCGCAUACGCCCUACGGGGGAAAGCAGGGGAUCGCAAGACCUUGCACUAUUGGAGCGGCCGAUAUCGGAUUAGCUAGUUGGUGGGGUAACGGCUCACCAAGGCGACGAUCCGUAGCUGGUUUGAGAGGACGACCAGCCACACUGGGACUGAGACACGGCCCAGACUCCUACGGGAGGCAGCAGUGGGGAAUUUUGGACAAUGGGGGAAACCCUGAUCCAGCCAUCCCGCGUGUGCGAUGAAGGCCUUCGGGUUGUAAAGCACUUUUGGCAGGAAAGAAACGUCAUGGGUUAAUACCCCGUGAAACUGACGGUACCUGCAGAAUAAGCACCGGCUAACUACGUGCCAGCAGCCGCGGUAAUACGUAGGGUGCAAGCGUUAAUCGGAAUUACUGGGCGUAAAGCGUGCGCAGGCGGUUCGGAAAGAAAGAUGUGAAAUCCCAGAGCUUAACAUUGGAACUG
rnacentral:rRNA from 1 species